ACUCCUACGGGAGGCAGCAGUGGGGAAUAUUGGACAAUGGGCGAAAGCCUGAUCCAGCAAUGCCGCGUGAGUGAUGAAGGCCCUAGGGUUGUAAAGCUCUUUUACCCGGGAUGAUAAUGACAGUACCGGGAGAAUAAGCUCCGGCUAACUUCGUGCCAGCAGCCGCGGUAAU
rnacentral:rRNA from 1 species